AUGUUCAAACCCGUCCUCGACCCUCCCGACUGUGUCCCUCCUCAGCGCUUCGACAUGCGACUCCACGACAUUGACAGUAGCCGUGGCAUGGGGGUCCAACUGCCCGGGUGCCGCCACGGUCGCCUCCUCAUCAUGUCCUCACGGCGGGAAGAGCUUAUUGUAAUUGCUCCCAUAACCGGCGAGAAGCUCCAUCUGACCGUUCCGUCGAAGUUCAAGGGGGACUGCUACCUCGAUGGGGCGGUGCUCUGCGCUGCUACUGACCAUGACCACGUGCACGGAAGCUGCCACUUGAGCCCAUUCAAGGUGGUCUUGCUCUCCUUGAGCAUCAGAGGUCCACAGCCCGCCUUCGCACAUGUUUACUCCUCAGAGACCGGUGUAUGGAGCGACCUCAUCUCAACACCGACUCCACCUAAGUUUUGUCAUACUAAUAGUCCUGGUUCACUUAUUGGUAAUGCACUUUACUGGCUGUGCAGAGGUGCAGAUUACAUACUUAAGUUUGAUUUUGACGGGCGGAGCCUAGCUGUGAUCAGAGCGCCUCCCAUUACAAAUGAUGUCUGCUACCGCAAUGGCAGCCAUCAGAUCAUUCAGGCUGUGGAUGGCGCUGUUGGUCUCGCCAUAUUGUCUCAUAAUAGCCAUACCAUUCAAAUGUGGCAAAAGGAGGUCAAUUCCCAGAGUGUUAACAAAUGGUUUUUGUGGCAGACCAUUGAAAUGCAUAACAUUCAUGGGUUACCUGCUCAGAUUGAAGGGCAGAAGGCAAGGUUAAUAUUUAUACUGGGAUAUGCUGAGGAUACUGAUGGAAUACUUUUAUACAUGGACGGCGGUGUCUAUAUGGUUCAACUAAAGUUGAUGCAACCUAGAAAACUUUGUGAAAAGCCCCCAAAUAAUCACUAUCAUUCUUUCGAGAGUUUCUAUAUGCCAGACUCACUGUUGUCUUUUCAUGCUUAUACUUCUACGCACAUCCAUUGA
rnacentral:rRNA from 1 species